rnacentral:rRNA from 1 species
AGUGAACGCUGGCGGUAGGCCUAACACAUGCAAGUCGAACGGCGGCACAGUAAGAGCUUGCUCUUACGGGUGGCGAGUGGCGGACGGGUGAGGAAUACAUCGGAAUCUACUUUUUCGUGGGGGAUAACGUAGGGAAACUUACGCUAAUACCGCAUACGACCUACGGGUGAAAGCAGGGGAUCUUCGGACCUUGCGCGAUUGAAUGAGCCGAUGUCGGAUUAGCUAGUUGGCGGGGUAAAGGCCCACCAAGGCGACGAUCCGUAGCUGGUCUGAGAGGAUGAUCAGCCACACUGGAACUGAGACACGGUCCAGACUCCUACGGGAGGCAGCGGUGGGGAAUAUUGGACAAUGGGCGCAAGCCUGAUCCAGCCAUACCGCGUGGGUGAAGAAGGCCUUCGGGUUGUAAAGCCCUUUUGUUGGGAAAGAAAAGCAGCAGGUUAAUACCCCGCUGUUCUGACGGUACCCAAAGAAUAAGCACCGGCUAACUUCGUG